GCCAGGCUUGGUGGCUCAGGCUUGUAAUCCCAGCACUUUGGGAGGCUGAGGUAGGUGGAUCACUUGAGUCCAGGAGUUUGAAACCAGCCUGGGCAACAUAGUGAGACCCCGCCUCUAUUAAAAAUGUUAACAAGAAUAAAAUAAAAUACAAUAAAAGGGGGCCCAGCACUUUGGGACACUGAGGUGGGCAGUUCACUUGAGGUCGGGGUGUUCAAGACCACCCUGGCCAACAUGGUGAAGCCACAUCUCU
rnacentral:sRNA from 1 species